rnacentral:rRNA from 1 species
AAACGUACGCCUGGCGGCACGCCUAACACAUGCAAGUCGAAACGAAAGUAGCAAUACUUAGUGGCAGACGGGUGAGUAACAUGUAGGUAUCUGCCCUUUGGCCUGGAAUAACACGAGGAAACUUCGUGCUAAUACCGGAAUAAGUCUUUACGGAGAAAGCUUUAUGCACCAUUGGAUGAGCCUGCACUUGAUUAGUUUGUUGGUGGGGUAAUGGCCUACCAAGACUGUGAUCAAUAGCUGAUUUGAGAGGAUGAUCAGCCACAUUGGGACUGAGACACGGCCCAAACUCCUACGGGAGGCAGCAGUGGGGAAUCUUGCACAAUGGAGGAAACUCUGAUGCAGCGAUGCCGCGUGAGUGAAGAAGGCCCUUGGGUUGUAAAGCUCUUUCGUCGGGGAAGAAAAUGACUGUACCCGAAUAAGAAGGUCCGGCUAACUUCGUGCCAGCAGCCGCGGUAAUACGAAGGGACCUAGCGUAGUUCGGAAUUACUGGGCUUAAAGAGUUCGUAGGUGGUUGAAAAAGUUAGUGGUGAAAUCCCAGAGCUUAACUCUGGAACUGCCAUUAAAACUUUUCAGCUAGAGUAUGAUAGAGGAAAGCAGAAUUUCUAGUGUAGAGGUGAAAUUCGUAGAUAUUAGAAAGAAUACCAAUUGCGAAGGCAGCUUUCUGGAUCAUUACUGACACUGAGGAACGAAAGCAUGGGUAGCGAAGAGGAUUAGAUACCCUCGUAGUCCAUGCCGUAAACGAUGUGUGUUAGACGUUGGAAAUUUAUUUUCAGUGUCGCAGGGAAACCGAUAAACACACCGCCUGGGGAGUACGACCGCAAGGUUAAAACUCAAAUGAAUUGACGGGGACCCGCACAAGUAGUGGAGCAUGUGGUUUAAUUCGAAGAUACGCGCAGAACCUUACCAACACUUGACAUGUUCGUCGCGACUCUAAGAGAUUAGAGUUUUCGGUUCGGCCGGACGAAACACAGGUGCUGCAUGGCUGUCGUCAGCUCGUGUCGUGAGAUGUUGGGUUAAGUCCCGCAACGAGCGCAACCCUCACUUUUAGUUGCCAUCAUUAAGUUGGGCACUCUGAAAGAACUGCCAGUGAUAAGCUGGAGGAAGGUGGGGAUGACGUCAAGUCCUCAUGGCCCUUACGUGUUGGGCUACACACGUGCUACAAUGGUAUCUACAACAGGAAGCAAGACUGCGAAGUUAAGCAAAUCCCUAAAAGAUACCUCAGUUCGGAUUGCACUCUGCAACUCGAGUGCAUGAAGCUGGAAUUACUAGUAAUCGUGGAAUCAGCGUGCCACGGUGAAAUGCGUUUCCCGGGUCU